rnacentral:misc_RNA from 1 species
GGGAGAGAGAGAGAGAGAUAUAGAGAGAUAGAGAUGGAAGAAAAGUACUUCAGCUAAUAUUACAGCCAUUUAGCUCGAGGACAUGAGAAUGGACAAAUUGCAGAAAGGUUGAACAUACAAAUCCUAAUUAAGACUUUCUAAAUCACAUAAUUUCAAACAUAAAACUAUUAUUAUCAGCAAAUUUUUAAACAUCUCAGACCACAAAUAUUUAAGUUAUCUAGUUCAAUUCCAUAAUAUGCAUGAGGCAGUAGUAAAAUGAGGGGCAAAAAUGAAAAUGCCAGUAGUGUAAUAUGCAGAUUUACAAUCAAAUGAAGUCUCCAGAAAUUGACUGAGAAUGAGGCACCUGAUCUUCCAGGAAUAGGCGAGGUGGUGUACACCAUGCA